GCUUUGACGUGGGUUUUGCAACGACUGGAGGGGAGAAAAAUUCAAACUUAAAACGUAGGCUUAGAUAUAAAAUGCAACAAGGAACUUCGAAAGAAAUUCCUCCACAUCAAGUUCAAAGGGACGUCAUGAAAGCAUUCAUUCAAGAAGGAAUGGAAGAACUUUGUUAUUUCCUACUCGGAGUUUCUCCUUCCCAUCUUUUUCACCUUCUCCAUGAUGAUAACUUCCAAG